rnacentral:rRNA from 1 species
CCUACGGGUGGCUGCAGUAGGGAAUCUUCGGCAAUGGGCGAAAGCCUGACCGAGCAACGCCGCGUGAGCGAUGAAGGCCUUCGGGUUGUAAAGCUCAGUCACUCGGGAAGAGCGGAUGCGGGAGGGAAUGCCCGUAUCGAGACGGUACCGAGAGAGGAAGCCCCGGCUAACUACGUGCCAGCAGCCGCGGUAAUAC